rnacentral:lncRNA from 1 species
UUUUUUUUUUUUUUUUUUUUUUUUUGGUCUUUUUAGGGCUGCACCUGCAGCAUAUGAGUUCCCAGGCUAGGAUUGAACUGGAGCUACAGCUGGUGGUCUAUGCCACAACCACAGCAACGCAGGAUCCAAGCCACGUCUGCGACCUACACUGCAGCUCAUAGCAAAGCCAGAUGCUUAAGGCACUUAGCAAGGCCAGGGAUUGAACCCACAUCCUCAUGGAUACUAGUUGGGUUCAUUACCGCUGAGCCACUACGGGAACUCCUCAAGAGCUUUAUUUAACGUUUCCGUAGUGCAGGUCUGUUGGUGAUGAAUUACUUCAGCUUUUAAGUGCCUUGAAACAGUAUUUUACCUUUCUUUUAAAAAGAUAUUUUUCUGGUUUUAAAUUUUCAGUUGACAGUGUGGUUUUCUUUUGGUACCCUAAGUACGUUGUUCAACUGUCUUCCAGUAUUAUUUACAAUAAGACGUCUGCUGCCAUUCUCAUCUGGGUUUCUCUGCAUGUAACUUGUCUUUUUCUCCCCCUCUGACUGCAUUUAAGAUUGUUCUCUUUAUCGCUGAUUAUGAGAAAUUCCACUGAUGAACUUUUUCUCUUCGUGUUUUUUGUGCUUGGGAUUCACUGAUAUUCUUGGAUAUAUGAGUUUCGUCAAAUUUGGAAAAUUUUCAGCCAUUAUUUCCUUAAAUUUUUUUUCUGCUCUCUCUUCCUUUGAAGACUCCAAUGUCAUGCAUAUUCAGUGAACUUGAAAUGGUCCCACAGCUUACUGAUUUCUCUGUUUAUCUUUUUCACAAGCUCUUUACUCUCUGUAUUGCAUUUUAAUUAGUUUCUAUAACUAUGUCUUCAAAUUUGCUAAGCUUUUCCUUUUAGUUUCUGAUCUGCAAUUAAUCCUAUCUGGUGUACUUUUCAUCCAAAACUUUUUUUUUUUUCCGUCUCUAUAGAGUUCAAUUUGGAUCCUUCUUCUAUCUUUCAUGUCUCUCCUUAAUAUGCUUAAAAUUUUCUCUACCUCUUUGCAUAUGUGGGGUAUAUUUACAACAUUGGUUUAACAUUCUUAUUUACCAAUUAUAUCAUCUGUACCAUUUUGGGGUCUGUUUCUAUUCACUGAUUUUUCCUCUUAUCAUGGUUCAGAUUUUUCUUCUUUCACAUGCCUUUUAAUCUUUGUUUGGGGAGUUCCCAUCGUGGCUAGGAGUCGAAUCAGAGCUAGCUAAAGCUGCCAACCUACACCAAAGCCACAGCAAUGCAGAAUCUGAGCCCCAUCUGUGACCUACACUACAGCUCACAGCAACAC